GACGAACGCUGGCGGCGUGCUUAACACAUGCAAGUCGAACGAAGUGGCGAACGGGUGAGUAACGCGUAAUCAACCUGCCCUUCAGAGGGGGACAACAGUGGGAAACGACUGCUAAUACCGCAUACUGAAGGAGGGGAUUGCGUCUGAUUAGCUAGUUGGAGGGGUAAUGGCUCACCUAGGCGAGGAUCCCUAGCUGGGCUGAGAGGAUGACCAGCCACAUUGGGACUGAGAAACGGCCCAGACUCCUACGGGAGGCAGCAGUGGGGAAUCUUCCGCAAUGGGCGAAAGUCUGACGGAGCAACGCCGCGUGAGUGAUGACGGCCUUCGGGUUGUAAAGCUCUGUUAAUCGGGACACGGUACCGGAAUAGAAAGCCACGGCUAACUACGUGCCAGCAGCCGCGGUAAUUC
rnacentral:rRNA from 1 species